UACGUAGGGGGCAAGCGUUGUCCGGAGUUACUGGGCGUAAAGCGCGCGCAGGCGGCGGUGCUGGCCCGGCGUGAAAGCCCCCGGCUCAACCGGGGAGGGUCGUCGGGGACCGCACCGCUUGAGGGCGGUAGGGGCUGGUGGAAUGCCUGGUGUAGUGGUGAAAUGCGUAGAGAUCAGGCGGAACACCUGGGGCGAAGGCGGCCAGCUGGGCCGUCCCUGACGCUGAGGCGCGAAGGCGUGGGGAGCGAACGGG
rnacentral:rRNA from 1 species